ensembl:misc_RNA 7SK 7SK RNA
GGAUGUGAGGGUGAUCUGACUGCGACAUCUGUCACCCCAUUGAUCGCCAGGGUUGAUUCAGCUGAUCUGGCUGGCUAGGCGGGUGUCCCCUUCCUCCCUUACUGCUCCAUGUGCAUCUCUCCUGAAGUUGUGCACUCGGCCCAAGAGGGUGGCCUUCCCAGAACAGAGAUGGACCUGUCUUUGGUUGAGGUUAUAGGAGUAGCUGCGCUCCCCUGCUAGAACGUACAAACAAGUUCUCAAGGUCCUUUUCUUGUGCAGAACUUUUUUAAUUUGAUGUAGUCCUGUUGGUUUAUUUAUUAUUUUU